GUCCGGGGAGGGGGCUGGCCCGGGGCUGCCCCAGCUUGGCCGGGCGCAGAGCGGGGCGCAUGGCGCCGGGCGCACUGCGCGGGGGCUUCGAACAAAGGGCCCCCGGCGGCGGCGCGAGGACGGCCGCGCUCGGACCCUGGCCCUGGCCCAGCCCUGGCCCGGCCCCCUCCCCAGACGCAGCGCCCCGCCGGAGCCGAAAAAUGAGCUGCGCCCUUCUCUGGCCGUUGCUCCCGCUCCUGCUCCUACUGCUGUCGGCGCGGGACGGCGUACGCGCCGCGCAGCCUCAGGCCCCGGGUUACCUGAUUGCAGCUCCCUCUGUUUUUCGCGCGGGUGUGGAGGAAGUCAUCAGCGUGACCAUCUUUAACUCCCCAUGGGAAGUCGUAAUCCACGCUCAGCUGGUGGCCCAGGGUGAGCCGGUGGUGCAGAGCCAGGGAGCCAUCCUGGAUAAAGGGACAAUCAAACUCAAGGUGCCCACGGGCCUCCGGGGCCAGGCGCUUCUGAAAGUGUGGGGCCGCGGCCGGCAGGCGGAGGAGGGGUCCCUCUUUCACAACCAGACCUCGGUGACUGUGGACCGCCGGGGUGCUUCCGUGUUCAUCCAGACGGACAAGCCUGUGUACAGACCCCAGCACCGAGUGCUCAUAAGCAUCUUCACCGUCUCUCCAGAUCUGAGGCCUGUCAACGAGAAGCUGGAAGCCUACAUCCAGGACCCCCGAGGCUCUCGGAUGAUAGAGUGGAGACACUUGAAGCCGUUCUGCUGCGGCAUCACCAACCUGAGCUUCCCCUUGUCUGACCAGCCUGUGUUGGGAGAAUGGUUCAUUUUUGUUGAAAUGCAAGGCCACGCGUACAACAAGUCUUUUGAAGUUCAGAAGUAUGUGUUGCCCAAGUUCGAGCUCCUGAUUGAUCCGCCCCGGUAUAUCCGAGACCUGGACGCCUGUGAGACAGGCACUGUGUGGGCCAGGUAUACCUUUGGAAAACCUGUGGCUGGUGUCUUAAUGAUUAACAUGACUGUUAAUGGUGUGGGGUACUACAGCCACGAAGUGGGACGCCCCGUCCUCAGAACAACCAAGAUCCUGGGCUCCCAGGACUUUGAUAUCUGUGUGAGGGACAUGAUCCCAGCGGACGUCCCCGAGCACUUCCGGGGCAGGGUCAGCAUCUGGGCCACAGUGACCAGUGUGGACGGGAGCCAGCAGGUGGCGUUCGACGACUCCACCCCCGUGCAGAGGCAGCUGGUGGACAUCCGGUACUCCAAGGACACGAGGAAGCAGUUCAAGCCGGGCCUGGCCUACGUGGGGAAGGUGGAGCUAUCCUACCCAGAUGGCAGCCCAGCUGAGGGGGUGACAGUCCAGAUUAAGGCAGAGCUGACACCAAAGGAUAACAUCUACACCAGUGAAGCUGUGUCCCAGGGUGGACUGGUGGGGUUUGAAAUCCCCUCCAUCCCCACGUCAGCCCAGCACGUGUGGCUUGAGACCAAGGUGACAGCACUGAAUGGAAAGCCCGUGGGGGCUCAGUACCUGCCCAGCUACCUCUCCCUCGGAAGCUGGUACUCCCCCAGCCAGUGCUACCUGCAGCUACAGCCACCCUCCCACCCACUGCAGGUUGGGGAAGAAGCCGAUUUUUCUGUGAAGUCCACAUGUCCCUGCAACUUUACCCUGUACUACGAGGUGGCUGCGCGGGGCAAUAUUGUGCUAUCGGGCCAGCAGCCUGCCCACAUCACCCAGCAGCGAAGCAAGCGGGCAGCCCCUGCCCUGGAGAAACCGAUUCGUUUAACACACCUUUCUGAGACAGAGCCCCCACCAGCCCCAGCAGCUGAGGUCAAUGUGUGUGUGACCUCUCUUCAUCUGGCCGUGACCCCCAGCAUGGUCCCCCUCGGUCGCCUGCUGGUCUUCUACGUCAGGGAGAAUGGAGAAGGGGUUGCCGACAGCCUUCAAUUUGCAGUUGAGACCUUCUUCGAAAACCAGGUUUCGGUGACGUAUUCAGCAAAUGAGACCCAACCUGGGGAGGUUGUCGACCUGCGGAUCACGGCUGCAAGGGGCAGCUGUGUGUGUGUCGCCGCAGUUGAUAAGAGUGUCUACCUGCUCAGGUCUGGGUUCCGGCUGACUCCUGCCCAGGUUUUCCAGGAACUGGAAGAUUAUGAUGUUUCUGAUUCCUUUGGCGUGUCCAGGGAGGAUGGUCCUUUUUGGUGGGCUGGGCUGAUGGCCCAACGACGCCGGCGCUCCUCCGUCUUCCCGUGGCCUUGGGGCAUCACCAAGGACUCUGGGUUUGCCUUCACCGAAACGGGACUGGUGGUGAUGACUGACCGAGUGAGCCUAAACCACCGGCAGGAUGGUGGCCUCUACACUGAUGAGGCUGUCCCCGCUUUCCAGCCCCACACAGGGAGCCUGGUGGCAGCAGCUCCUUCCAGGAACCCCCCCAGAACAGAGAAGAGAAAAAGGACUUUCUUCCCUGAAACAUGGAUUUGGUAUUGUCUCAACAUCAGUGACCCAUCUGGUGAGGAGACACUCAGCGUGAAGGUCCCAGACUCCAUCACUAGCUGGGUGGGUGAGGCCACGGCCCUGUCCACCUCUCAGGGCUUAGGCAUCGCUGAGCCCUCCCUGCUGAAGACCUUCAAGCCCUUCUUUGUGGACUUCACGCUCCCCCGUCUCAUCAUCCGUGGGGAGCAAGUCAAGAUCCCGCUCAGUGUCUACAACUACAUGGGCAUCUGUGCUGAGGUGUACAUGAAGCUCUCAGUUCCCAAGGGCAUCCAGUUUGUUGGGCAUCCUGGCAAAAGCCAUCUGACUAAGAAGAUGUGUGUGGCCCCUGGGGAGGCUGAGCCCGUCUGGGUCGUUCUGUCCUUCAGUGAUCUGGGGCUCAACAACAUCACAGCCAAAGCCCUUGCUUACGGAGAUACAAAUUGCUGCCGGGAUGGGAGGUCCAGCAAACACCCAGAGGAGAAUCACGCUGACAAGAGGGUCCCCAUCGGGGUGGAUCACGUCAGGCACAGUGUGAUGGUUGAGGCCGAAGGAGUUCCCCGAGCGUACACCUACAGCGCAUUCUUCUGUCCCAGUGAGAGAGUCCACAUCUCCACCCCCAACAAGUAUGAGUUCCAGUAUGUGCAGCGGCCACUGCACCUCACCCGCUUUGAUGUGGCUGUGCGAGCUCACAAUGAUGCCCGUGUGGCCUUGUCUUCUGGGCCCCAGGACACAGCAGGCAUGAUCGAGAUCGUCCUAGGGGGGCAUCAGAACACCAGGUCAUGGAUCUCCACCAGCAAGAUGGGAGAGCCCGUGGCCAGUGCACACACGGCCAAGAUCCUCUCCUGGGAUGAAUUCAGAACAUUCUGGAUCAGCUGGCAUGGUGGCCGUAUCCAGGUUGGCCACGGUCCAGAGCCAUCCAACGAGUCUGUCAUUGUGGCCUGGACCCUCCCGAGGCCACCAGAGGUGCAGUUCAUUGGCUUUUCCACCGGCUGGGGCUCCAUGGGUGAAUUCCGAAUCUGGAGGAAGAUGGAGGUGGAUGAGAGCUACAGCGAGGCCUUCACCCUGGGGGUCCCGCACGGUGCCAUCCCUGGGUCUGAGCGGGCUGCCGCCUCCAUCAUCGGGGACGUCAUGGGGCCAACCCUGAACCACCUCAACAACCUCCUGCGGCUGCCCUUUGGCUGUGGAGAACAGAACAUGAUCCACUUUGCUCCCAACAUCUUUGUCUUGAAGUAUCUUCAGAAAACCCAGCAGCUCAGCCCUGAGGUGGAGAGAGAGACCACUGACUACCUAGUACAAGGCUACCAGCGCCAGCUGACCUACAAGCGCCAGGAUGGCUCCUACAGCGCGUUUGGGGAGCGGGACGCGUCGGGGAGCAUGUGGCUCACGGCCUUUGUCCUGAAGUCCUUUGCACAGGCUCGCAGCUUUAUCUUCGUGGACCCCCGGGAGCUGGUUGCCUCCAAGAGCUGGAUCAUCCAACAGCAGCAGGCCGAUGGCUCCUUCCCAGCCAUGGGCAGGGUCCUGAACAAGGACAUCCAGGGUGGGAUCCACGGCACUGUCCCGCUGACAGCCUACGUGGUGGCUGCUCUCCUGGAAACAGGCACAGCCUCAGAGGAGGAGAGAGGCUCCAUUGACAAAGCGAGGCACUUCCUGGAGUCUGCUGCACCCCUGGCCACGGACCCCUACAGCUGUGCCCUGACUACCUAUGCACUGACCCUGCUCCGCAGCCCGGCAGCCCCUGAGGCACUGCGCAAGCUCCGUAGCCUGGCCAUCAUGAGAGAUGGGGUCACCCACUGGAGCCUGACAAAUUCCUGGGACAUGGACAAGGGCACAUUAUUGAGCUUCGGUGACAGGACCUCUCAGUCAGUGGUCUCGGCCGAGGUGGAAAUGACAGCCUACGCCCUUCUGACCUACACCCUGCUGGGUGACGUGGCCGCCGCCCUGCCUGUGGUGAAGUGGCUGUCCCAGCAGCGAAAUGCACUCGGGGGAUUCUCCUCCACUCAGGACACCUGCGUGGCUCUGCAGGCCUUGGCUGAAUAUGCCAUCUUGUCCUAUGCUGGAGGUAUCAACCUCACUGUCUCCGUGGCCUCCACCAACCUGGACUACCAGGAAACCUUCGAGCUGCACAGGACCAACCAAAGGGUUCUGCAGAUGGCAGCGGUGCGUGUUCCUGGGACGAGGGCUUGGGGGCUGUUGGAGGAGGAGUCGGCAGGGCCUCACGGUGACUUCUGUCCUCAGAUCCCCAGCCUCCCCACGGGGCUGUUUGUGAGUGCCAAGGGGGACGGCUGCUGCCUGAUGCAGAUUGAUGUCACCUACAAUGUGCCUGACCCAGUGGCCAAGCCGGCUUUCCAACUGCUCGUUAGCCUCCAGGAGCCUGAGGCCCAGGGACGCCCGUCCCCCAUGCCUUCCUCCUCAGCUGAGGGUUCCCGAGGAGACAGACCCCCAGCUGACGAUGAUGACCCAGCGGCCGAUCAGCAUCACCAGGAAUACAAGGUGAUGCUGGAGGUGUGCACCAGGUGGCUGCACGCAGGAUCUUCCAAUAUGGCUGUCCUCGAGGUGCCCCUGUUGUCAGGCUUCCGGGCAGACAUCGAGAGUCUGGAGCAGCUGCUCCUUGACAAGCACAUGGGGAUGAAGAGGUAUGAAGUGGCUGGACGCCGAGUGCUCUUCUACUUUGAUGAGAUCCCCAGCCGGUGCCUGACGUGUGUGCGGUUCCGUGCGCUCCGGGAGUGCGUGGUGGGGAGGACGUCGGCGCUGCCAGUCUCCGUGUACGACUACUACGAGCCCGCCUUCGAGGCCACUCGCUUCUACAACGUCAGCGCGCACAGCCCACUCGCCCAGGAACUGUGCGCCGGACCCGCGUGCAACGAGGUGGAGCGCGCCCCUGCCCGGGGCCCGGUAUUAGGCAAAUACCUGCGUGAAAUUCCAUGAGACCAGGGCUCAGGACCUCCCAUUAACUGUCGCGCCCCAAGACCCACCGAGGGGGGAGUGGGCCCGGGCCCCAGGGACGUCUCCCCAACCCCCAGGCUCUGUGGGGGUGCGGGCAAGGUGCAGGGUGGGGGGUCCUCCGUGCCUUGUCGAGCCUGUGUCGUUCCCCAGGCUGGUCCCCCGGCGAGUCGGGCCCUGGGGUGGCCCCUGAGGAAGGGGCGGCGAUCACGCGAUGCGGCUGCGACCACGACUGCGGCGCCCAGGGGGACCCAGUGUGCGGCUCCGACGGGGUGGUCUACGCCAGCGCCUGCCGCCUUCGGGAGGCAGCCUGCCGCCGGGCCACGCCUCUGGAGCCCGCGCCUCCAAACUGCUGCGCCCUCGAGCAGCCGCUGCCAGCCUCAGUGUCCUCCACCUACGGGGAUGACCUGGCUUCUGUGGCUCCGGGGCAUUUGCAGCAGGACAUGAAGCUCAGUGGAGCCGGCCUUGAGGUGGUGGACUCAGACCCUGAGCCGGAAGGGGAGGUGGAGGACAGUCAGAGCGGCUUCUCUUCCUAACGGCUGCCCUGCUCAGAGCAGGACGACACCAUCUGGCUGCAUCCUGUCCCUAUCCGCCUGUGACUCUGCCUGGUGGGUGGGCAGACCUCGGCCCAGGUGACACCUGCCUCUAAAUGAACCCAGGGAGCAGAAUGGCAGAGAUCUGCCCAUCCCUAGGAUGGGACUCGGGUCCCAGGUGUGGGCUCAGCAGUCACCAGAGUGGUGCAGGGGGGACAGCUGGAGGUCCCUUGGGAGACGCCCCCCCCACUUCCUAGCUACAGCUGGAACUCCAAGCACCCCAAUCCCCCAGCCUUGGAGCUGGGCAUCAUUUUCCUGGGGCCACGGCGUCUCCUACAGCCUGACAUUCUGUUCCCGGGAGAAGAAACAUUCCCAGAAAGCACUCGUGUGGCCAAAAGCCUCUUUCUGAGCAAACACAGUGUGGACUAAUUAGCAAAACAUCCAGCCCGUGGGCAACUUCAAAACGGAACAGGCCGCCUUUCUCUGAAACACAAAGCCAGGCCUUUGGGGCACCCAGGACCCCGAAUUGCCCUAAGACUGUCCCAGCUCUGGAACCCUCUGCCUUCGCCCCAGGGGACCUCGGGCUCACAUCACAAGGCCCUGCGGGGAAGCAGAUGACUCUCAGCAAAUGCACUUUCAGCUUCUGGCUGCCCGGGCUGGGUGACCCCGGUGCUUCCUCACUGUGAGUUCCUGAUGUCGCCGUGCCCAGAGGACCAGCCCACUCUCAGGGCCCCCAGGUCCAGAACCUGCCUGCCUUGGGGGGCCCUACCAGCUGCCUGCCACCAGCACCAGCAGACUUUGAUUCCCUUUUGUGACCCCUGACACCUGCUUAUGUCUGCAUUUGCCCAUCUUUUCCGGGGUGGUAUUUAUUUCAGCCCACACUGCUUAGCCCUGAUCUCUGCCACCACAGAGGCCCCUCGCUGCCUGAGAGGUCAAGGUCUGAGGCUGCCCUGGCCUAUGAGUUCCCCACCCCUGGCCCUCAUCACCUUACAAGGGACAGGCCCCUUGACUCCUUCCUCAGCCCGAGGCCCGGUGCCCACUUGCUAUAGAGGAUGUUGUAAGAUAAAACCUCAUCUCCAGGGUCAUGGCCAGGCCUCGGCCUCCUGCAGGCAGCGGGAACCUAGAGCACAGCACCCAGAGUGCCAGCCCGUUCCACAGAUGGGUCCAGACCCUGGCCUGUCGGAGACGUAGUGGCUGGGUGGUGGGGGCCCACGGUCCAGGGCUCCUGAGCCCCCAUGUGUUCAUCUACAGCCCAGCCUUUCAGAGUGGUGGGGAGGAGGGUUUAUGGAUGUCAAAACACCUGCACCCUGAGAUAAUCCUACAACCACAUGGAGUUGUAGGACCACAGUUUGGUCCUGGGGACCGCUCAUACCCACACACCCAGCUUGUGCCUGUGGUUAACAACUCAGAAAACUAGUAAAUGAUCACUCCAGGAUAUUGACACGAAUACACAUCGCUGAUCUUACUUACA